rnacentral:pre_miRNA from 1 species
CCUUAUUAUAUUGCUGUCAAGUAAGCACUACUGGACGGAAGUGUAAUGAGGGUA